GUAGGUGGCAAGCGUUGUCCGGAAUUAUUGGGCGUAAAGCGCGCGCAGGCGGUUCUUCAAGUCUGAUGUGAAAGCCCACGGCUCAACCGUGGAGGGUCAUUGGAAACUGGAGAACUUGAGUACAGAAGAGGAAAGCGGAAUUCCACGUGUAGCGGUGAAAUGCGUAGAGAUGUGGAGGAACACCAGUGGCGAAGGCGGCUUUCUGGUCUGUAACUGACGCUGAGGCGCGAAAGCGUGGGGGGAGCAAACAGGAUUAGAUACCCUGGUAGUCCACGCCGUAAACGAUGAGUGCUAAGUGUUAGGGGGUUUCCGCCCCCCCCUUAGUGCUGCAGCUAACGCAUUAAGCACUCCGCCUGGGGAGUACGGCCGCAAGGCUG
rnacentral:rRNA from 1 species